rnacentral:lncRNA from 1 species
CAUCCUUCACUGUAUUUCUCAUGUUGUAUGCGUAGUUCUCCAAGGAGUUCUUGGCAUCCACCUUCUUCUUCACCUCUUCAUCCUCUGCUUUGUACUUCUCUGCAUCUUGCACCAUCCUUUCAAUAUCUUCCUUGCUCAAUCUUCCUUUGUCGUUAGUGAUUGUGAUCUUGUUCUUCACUCCGGCAGUCUUAUCUUCUGCAGAGACAUUCAAAAUACCAUUGGCGUCAAUGUCGAAACACACAUUAAUUUGAGGAACGCCCCUGGGUGCCGGUGGGAUUCCGGUGAGCUCGAAUUUGCCAAGAAGAUUGUUGUCUUUGGUCCUAGCUCUUUCACCUUCAUACACCUGAAUAAGCACUCCUGGCUGGUUAUCGGAGUAUGUAGAAAAGAUCUGCUCUUUCUUGGUAGGAAUCGUCGUGUUCCUCGGAAUCAAGACUGUCAUUACACCACCGGCAGUCUCAAUACCGAGGCUGAGAGGAGUGACAUCCAAGAGAAGCAAAUCUUGAACCUUCUCAUCCCCUUCACCGGUAAGAAUUGCGGCUUGGACAGCAGCUCCAUAUGCCACGGCCUCAUCUGGGUUUAUGCUCUUGCAGAGUUCCUUUCCAUUAAAGAAAUCUUGCAAAAGUUGCUGAACUUUGGGAAUUCUUGUUGACCCACCAACGAGGACAACCUCAUGAACAUGACUCUUGUCAAUCUUGGAGUCCCGAAGACAUUUCUCCACAGGUUCCAUGCACUUUCUGAACAAAUCCAUGUUCAGUUCUUCAAAUCUUGCUCUAGUGAUCGUUGCAUAGAAAUCAAUGCCUUCAUAGAGAGAAUCAAUCUCUAUAGUUGUCUGUGAGGUUGAAGACAGCGUCCUCUUUGCCCUCUCACAGGCGGUUCUCAAUCUUCUCAGGGCUCUGGCAUUAGUACUAAUAUCCUUCUUGUGCUUCCUCUUGAACUCUGCAGCAAAAUGGCUGACAAGCCUAUUGUCGAAGUC